rnacentral:rRNA from 1 species
GAUGAACGCUGGCGGCGUGCCUAAUACAUGCAAGUCGAGCGAACGGACGAGACGCUUGCUUCUCUGAUGUUAGCGGCGGACGGGUGAGUAACACGUGGAUACCCUACCUAUAAGACUGGGAUAACUUCGGGAAACCGUAUCUAAUCCCGUAUAAUCUUUUGAACCGCAUGGUUCAAAAGUGAAAGACGGUCUUUCUGUCACUUAUAGCUGGAUCCGCGCUGCAUUAGCUAGUUGGUAAGGUAACGGCUUACCAAGGCAACGAUGCAUAGCCGACCUGAGAGGGGGAUCGGCCACCCUGGAACUGAGACACGGUCAAGACUCCUACGGGAGGCAGCAGUAGGGAAUGUUCCGCAAUGGGCGAAAGCCUGACGGAGCAACGCCGCGUGAGUGAUGAAGGUCUUCGGAUCGUAAAACUCUGUUAUUAGGGAAGAACAGAUGUGUAAGGAACUGUGCACAGCUUGACGGUACCUAAUCAGAAAGCCACGGCUAACUACGUG